rnacentral:rRNA from 1 species
UACGAAGGGGCUAGCGUUGCUCGGAAUGACUGGGCGUAAAGGGCGCGUAGGCGGAUGGCACAGUCAGAUGUAAAAUUCCCGGGCUUAACCUGGGGGCUGCAUUUGAUACGUGUUGUCUAGAGUGAGGAAGAGGGUUGUGGAAUUCCCAGUGUAGAGGUGAAAUUCGUAGAUAUUGGGAAGAACACCGGUGGCGAAGGCGGCAACCUGGUCCUUGACUGACGCUGAGGCGCGAAAGCGUGGGGAGCAAACAGG